GAGGGUAUAGCUCAGUGGUAGAGUACAGUGCAGGCUUAGGAUGCACAAGGUCCUGGGUUCAAUCCCCAGUACCUCCA
rnacentral:tRNA from 1 species